ACUUGAAUAGUUUAUAAAAAAUUUAGAUUUGUGGAUUCUAAGAAACUUAAUUGUUUCAAGUU
rnacentral:tRNA from 1 species